rnacentral:rRNA from 1 species
GGGAGUGACGUCAAAUCAUCAUGCCCCUUAUGACCUGGGCUACACACGUGCUACAAUGGUUGGUACAACGAGUUGCGAGUCGGUGACGGCGAGCUAAUCUCUUAAAGCCAAUCUCAGUUCGGAUUGUAGGCUGCAACUCGCCUACAUGAAGUCGGAAUCGCUAGUAAUCGCGGAUCAGCACGCCGCGGUGAAUACGUUCCCGGGCCUU